rnacentral:snRNA from 1 species
CUGCUCGUCUGGGCAGCACAUAUAUUAAAAGUGGAACGAUACAGAGAAGAUUAAGGGGCCCCUGCGCAGGGAUGACACGCAAAUUCAUGACGCCGUCCAUAUUUUU